rnacentral:rRNA from 1 species
GUGCUUAACACAUGCAAGUCGAACGGAAAGGCCCCUUCGGGGGUACUCGAGUGGCGAACGGGUGAGUAACACGUGGGUGAUCUGCCCUGCACUUUGGGAUAAGCCUGGGAAACUGGGUCUAAUACCGAAUAGGACCGCAUGCUGCAUGGUGUGUGGUGGAAAGCUUUUGCGGUGUGGGAUGGGCCCGCGGCCUAUCAGCUUGUUGGUGGGGUAAUGGCCUACCAAGGCGACGACGGGUAGCCGGCCUGAGAGGGUGUCCGGCCACACUGGGACUGAGAUACGGCCCAGACUCCUACGGGAGGCAGCAGUGGGGAAUAUUGCACAAUGGGCGCAAGCCUGAUGCAGCGACGCCGCGUGGGGGAUGACGGCCUUCGGGUUGUAAACCUCUUUCAGUAUCGGCGAAGCUCCAAGGUUUUCUUUGGGGUGACGGUAGGUACAGAAGAAGCACCGGCCAACUACGUGCCAGCAGCCGCGGUAAUACGUAGGGUGCGAGCGUUGUCCGGAAUUACUGGGCGUAAAGAGCUCGUAGGUGGUUUGUCGCGUUGUUCGUGAAAUC